CCUACGGGUGGCAGCAGUGAGGAAUAUUGGUCAAUGGACGCAAGUCUGAACCAGCCAUGCCGCGUGCAGGAAGACGGCUCUAUGAGUUGUAAACUGCUUUUGUACGAGGGUAAACGCAGAUACGCGUAGCUGGCUGAAAGUAGCGUACGAAUAAGGAUCGGCUAACUCCGUGCCAGCAGCCGCGGUAAUACGGAGGAUUCAAGCGUUCUGCGGAUUGAUUGGGGUGAAAGGGUGCGUAGGCGGUCGGAUAAGUUAGAGGUGAAAUCCCGAGGCUCAACUUCGGAAUUGCCUCUGUUACUGGUCGGCUCUAGCGUAGUUGCGGUAGGCGGAAUGUCUGGUGUAGCGGU
rnacentral:rRNA from 1 species